rnacentral:rRNA from 1 species
CAGCCGCCGCGGGAAUACGGAGGGGGCUAGCGUUGUUCGGAAUUACUGGGCGUAAAGCGCACGUAGGCGGCUUUGUAAGUUAGAGGUGAAAGCCCGGAGCUCAACUCCGGAAUUGCCUUUAAGACUGCAGAGCUAGCAGGUGAGAGAGGUGAGUGGAAUUCCGAGUGUAGAGGUGAAAUUCGUAGAUAUUCGGAAGAACACCAGUGGCGAAGGCGGCUCACUGGCUCAUACUGGACGCUGAGGUGCGAAAGCGUGGGGAGCAAACAGGAUUAGAGACCCCAGUAGUCCCUGUCUCUUAUAA